CCCUUAUUUUCUAUACCGUACCAUUUUCGAAAUGAAAAUCGUGUUCCGUUGAACGUUUCACUUCAAUUUUCCAUUAAAUUUCCUUUGAUCAACAAUGAGCACAGUUAGCUAUGUCAGGUAGGAUGAUCUAAAUCUAGCAGCGACUGCACCUGAAUCCAUGGAGAUGAUGAGGCUGCACCACAAUCAAGAGGCAGAGGUCGUUGUUUGGGGACGAAGAACCCUAAAGACCGUUCUAGACGCCGCAUUUGACUGAUGUUUUCCUAUCGAUUACUUUGUGAUAAAUUACAUAAACUAGUUCUUUUUAUCGAUUACUUCUUCAUUUUCCUCCUUCUUUUAAGUUCUUUGGAAUUUUCGAUAGAGUAUUUCUUUUAGCUAUUUUCCAUGUGUCAAUUUAGAGGUCUGAUUUUAUGAAAAAAGCUGUGGACCUAGCAGCCAGAGAAUUAAUGGCACUCGCAUCACAAGGACAAGUUUAAUCUUCAAUUAAUUAAUAAUCUAAUUCAGGAAUUUGGUUUAGUUUUUUAUAAUGUUGUUGCAAUGUGCUUCUAUUGCAAUUAUGAAUGUUGCAAUGUGCUUGUGUUGCAAUUCAGGCUCGAUGUAUGGCAAACAUAGUAUUACAGUCACAUUACCCCAGAAGCUCACGGGGGCUUAGAAACCAAAGGUAUCUGCGUGAGUCUGCCCCUAAGAAAGGAAAAUCUAGUAGGAGAUAGGCUUUAUGAGAAGAUCUGCCCACUAAUAUUGACCAGGAAUGUGUCGAAGAUCAAGCUGCUUGGUAUUAACAUUUUUGAAAACGUAGAACACGUGAAGCUCCAUUUUCCUGGUUCUAGCACGAAGAACAGGAUUAUGAGCCAAAUUAAGAACAAAUUGUCACACAGAACAAUAGGAGUAUUGUGAGGAAUUGAAAGCUUCUUAAGAGUCUCUAUCCAUAAGAUGUCAGCUGUAGCAACAUCUAAACUCCUAUUUCUAGUUUGUUUUCUUGAUCAACAUGAAACUAAAUUAGGUUCCAAGUAAAUGGAAGCCCCUGAGAUUGAAGAAGAUAAGUCAUAAACUAUCAUAUUCAUACCUUGUUGACAACAAAAUUUUUAAACUCCUUGUAAAUGUUAUUUCUUUCAUGUAAAAAUUCUAUCAGGCCAUGUCUAGCUACUCUUAUUUGUAUCAUUUUUUAGGAUUCUUGUUAAGGCUUGUUUCCCUUUGUAUUUCACAACCUCUCUUACAUCUAUCCCCACUCCAAAAUGAACUUACCUUAAAAGACUAUGAUUGUUUUGGGCAGGCAAUAAGUAAUAUGAAAGCUAAUGCAGCUGGAUUAACUCAACAAAACAAUGUGUAGCCUGUUUCAGAUGCCAACAUUCCCAAGGCUAAACCAGAACAUCCUUUGGGCUUGCAAUCAAAACUUCUAGAAGGUUAAGGAGAAGUGUCUAAGCCUCAAUCUUCGUUAGUGCUUCCACCAGGUUUUUUUGAUGACAGUGUUUCAGGAAAGAAAAGUUCUGUGAUAGUAAUAGGGAGAGAACGCUUUCCAUGAUUUGCAGCCGCAUCAAACGCUUUCCAGCACUUCUAUGUGCUGCUGAAUUCCACGAGGAUGAUGUGCUCUAUAGCGAGAGAACAUCUAGGUUUCUGAAGCCUGCUUUCACUGUUAUACGUGAUCAAGAAUCGAAAUGUUUGUUGGUGUUCAUCCGUGGAACGCGUAGCAUAAAAGACACUCUCAUAGAUACACUGUGUGCUUAUGUCUCCUUCGAUCACAACAUGGUUUCAGGACAUGCACAUCGUGGUAUGGUUGUUGUGGCUGAUUGGAUUAGCAAACAUUGCAUUCCUGUACUACUUGAAGCUCUUCGUCAAUACCCCCACUUCAAAAUCAAGAUUGUUGGACACUCGCUGGGUGGUGGUACUGCUGCAUUAUUGACUCAUAAGCUUAGAGAAAUGGAAGAGUUGUCUUCGACAAGGCCAACUUGUGUCACGUUUGGCUUAGCUGCCUGUGUGACAUUGGAGUUGGCUGAGUUAGGAAAACCCUUUAUCACUUCCAUUGUAAAUGGUUCUGACAUAGUGCCAACACUCUCAGCUUCUUCUAGUCAUAAUUUCAUUGCUGAGGUAACAACCUACAAUAUUAUCACCAAAUAUUCAUAUUCUCAGGUAUAUCUUUACUCAAAAUUGGUGGAAGAAUGGUUUAUUCAACCUGCUCAAUGAAUCCUAUUGAGAAUGAAGCUGUGGUUGCUGAGAAAAAUGACUUGAAUAUAGACCUGCAAAAUCUGCCCAAACAGGGGAAUAUGGCCCAAGCAAUUACUUUUGAGAAUGAAUGUCUCUUUGGAUUGAGUAUAAGGUGCCAAAAUAAUAUAUGUGAUCUUGUUUUGGUGCUGGUCAUCUGAUCUGAAGUCUAACCUGUUUAAUUUUGUUGUAGGGGCAACAAUGCUUAAGUAAUGAUCAAGUGUUAGGAAGUAUAGGAAUACUGUUUGAUAUUGACUUGUAGAUCUUUAGGAUUUUCCAGAGGCUAUGCUAGUAGUGAAUUUUCAGCUUUAACUUUGAUCUUUGGUCUCUUAGGACAUUGUUGAUUAUGCCACUAGCAAGCUCCCCCCUGAUGUUCUUGCUGCCUGAAGAUAGUUGUACUUGUAGCAAACUCAUAUAGACCUAUUGGAGGGGCUAAAGAUGAUCUUGAAAUAGGAAUUUCGUCCUACAAAAAUCCAAGAUUGCAUCUUUUCCAUCAAAGGAAAUUGCGAAAAGACUGCCUCACCCAUCAGUUAGUUGAAGUAGCCACAGAUAGCAGCUGAAUGUGGGAACCCCUGGUGGUCAUCAGGGUGAUGGAAACUCCGCUGCAUAGCUAAUCUUGGGUUGGACUCCCUACUCCAAGUACUCUUCAAGGCACUGUGGCCUAUGUACUAUCUUGCUCUAUGAGAAUGUAUUCUGGAUAACUGUCAAAAGUUUAUUCUUGUUCUCUUCUUUUGUUAAUGGCAUCGUGGUGUGUCUUAGUUUUGUCUCGAGUAUUUUGGAUAUUUGUAAGGAGUGACCCUAUACUCCAUGUCAUUGCUUUUUAUAUUAUAUUCUAAGUGAUGUUUCAUUUAAA